UACGAAGGGGGGCUAGCGUUGCUCGGAAUCACUGGGCGUAAAGGGCGCGUAGGCGGCCAGCACAAGUCAGUUGUGAAAUCUCCGAGCUUAACUCGGAAAGGUCAACUGAUACUGUGCGGCUAGAGUGCAGAAGGGGCAACUGGAAUUCUUGGUGUAGCGGUGAAAUGCGUAGAUAUCAAGAGGAACACCUGCGGCGAAGGCGGGUUGCUGGGCUGACACUGACGCUGAGGCGCGAAAGCUAGGGGAGCGAACGGG
rnacentral:rRNA from 1 species